GUCCUACGCGUUUCAUCCGUUGGGACUUCUUCAGGGAGCGAUACCCAUAUUAAUACAGUGCUUCCUCAAAUUAAUACACGACCCACUCCCUCCAGCCGUGGGAGGGGAGAUAAGAAGCAGACAGGCUCCAGUGCAGGAGGGCUGCAAAUAUAUUAAUUGUGGGCCGCAUGCGGGCCACGUGCCGCAUGUUUGACAUGCUUGCUCUACAUGGUCCACCCUUAGUGGGCUGUCCUGAAUGAUUGGCAUUCACUGAUGUGCAUUCACGCCAUACUGACCUGCCUAUUUUGUGAGUGUACUCGCCCUCUUUCUGGGUGGGACUGUCUCCUUUGGGUAUCACACAUGACAUCACUGUCUUCCACUUUUUACCCACCUCCCUGAUGUCUGGCUUUACUGGAUGCCAAUUUCAAGGGGGGGGGGGGUCAUUCAUACAGACCAACAACUUGGCAAUUAAAGUGACAAAGGACAUUAAGAUAGAAAAGUGGAACAGAGGGAUAUGGACCUAAAAUUCGAAGUGCUUGAAAAAAGUACAAUUCAGAAAGUUUUAAUUACGAGAUAAAAAUUGUGCUACUAUUUAUAAGCAGCAAUUCUUAUUUCUCUCAGAAUUACUUAUUUUCUUUUAGUUAUAUUCAAGAAUCUACCACCACUAGUCUCCUAAAGUUUACGUGAAAUUUAAGCACACCAUAUUACCUCUGAAUUUGGAUCAAAUAGCUGAACAAAUAAAUAGAUACAUAAAUAAAAUAUUUUAUCUGUGUCUCUGUGGCCUACAUAUUACCAGGAAGAAUCUAUAACCACCGAUACAAAUUGAG